UACGUAGGGGGCUAGCGUUGUCCGGAAUCAUUGGGCGUAAAGAGCGUGUAGGCGGUCCGGUAAGUCCGCUGUGAAAGUCGGGGGCUCAACCCUCGAAUGCCGGUGGAUACUGUCGGGCUAGAGUGCGGAAGAGGCGAGUGGAAUUCCUGGUGUAGCGGUGAAAUGCGCAGAUAUCAGGAAGAACACCAGUGGCGAAAGCAGGCUUCUGG
rnacentral:rRNA from 1 species